rnacentral:rRNA from 1 species
CACGUAGGGGGCGAGCGUUGUCCGGAUUCAUUGGGCGUAAAGGGCGCGCAGGCGGCCCGGAAAGUCGGAUGUGAAAACUCGAGGCUCAACCUCGAGACGUCGAUGGAAACCAUCUGGCUAGAGUCCGGAAGAGGAGAGUGGAAUUCCUGGUGUAGCGGUGAAAUGCGCAGAUAUCAGGAAGAACACCUAUGGCGAAGGCAGCUCUCUGGGACGGUACUGACGCUGAGACGCGAAAGCGUGGGGAGCGAACAGG